rnacentral:rRNA from 1 species
UACGUAGGGGGCUAGCGUUGUCCGGAAUCAUUGGGCGUAAAGAGCGUGUAGGCGGUCCGGUAAGUCCGCUGUGAAAGUCCAGGGCUCAACCCUGGGAUGCCGGUGGAUACUGUCGGGCUCGAGUCCGGAAGAGGAGUGUGGAAUUCCUGGUGUAGCGGUGAAAUGCGCAGAUAUCAGGAGGAACACCAAUGGCGAAGGCAACUCGCUGGGACGUUACUGACACUGAGGCGCGAAAGCGUGGGGAGCGAACAGG